rnacentral:rRNA from 1 species
GACGAACGCUGGCGGCGUGCUUAACACAUGCAAGUCGAACGCUGAAGCUUGGUGCUUGCACUGGGUGGAUGAGUGGCGAACGGGUGAGUAAUACGUGAGUAACCUGCCCUUGACUCUGGGAUAAGCCUGGGAAACUGGGUCUAAUACUGGAUACGACAUGUCACCGCAUGGUGGUGUGUGGAAAGGGUUUUACUGGUUUUGGAUGGGCUCACGGCCUAUCAGCUUGUUGGUGGGGUAAUGGCUCACCAGGCGACGACGGGUAGCCGGCCUGAGAGGGUGACCGGCCACACUGGGACUGAGACACGGCCCAGACUCCUACGGGAGGCAGCAGUGGGGAAUAUUGCACAAUGGGCGGAAGCCUGAUGCAGCGACGCCGCGUGAGGGAUGACGGCCUUCGGGUUGUAAACCUCUUUCAGCACGGAAGAAGCGAAAGUGACGGUACGUGCAGAAGAAGCGCCGGCUAACUACGUG